rnacentral:rRNA from 1 species
ACGCUGGCGGCGUGCCUAAUACAUGCAAGUAGAACGCUGAAGAGAGGAGCUUGCUCUUCUUGGAUGAGUUGCGAACGGGUGAGUAACGCGUAGGUAACCUGCCUUGUAGCGGGGGAUAACUAUUGGAAACGAUAGCUAAUACCGCAUAACAAUGGAUGACUCAUGUCAUUUAUCUGAAAGGGGCAAAUGCUCCACUACAAGAUGGACCUGCGUUGUAUUAGCUAGUAGGUGAGGUAACGGCUCACCUAGGCGACGAUACAUAGCCGACCUGAGAGGGUGAUCGGCCACACUGGGACUGAGACACGGCCCAGACUCCUACGGGAGGCAGCAGUAGGGAAUCUUCGGCAAUGGGGGCAACCCUGACCGAGCAACGCCGCGUGAGUGAAGAAGGUUUUCGGAUCGUAAAGCUCCGUUGUAAGUCAAGAACGAGUGUGAGAGUGGAAAGUUCACACUGUGACGGUAGCUUACCAGAAAGGGACGGCUAACUACGUGCCAGCAGCCGCGGUAAUACGUAGGUCCCGAGCGUUGUCCGGAUUUAUUGGGCGUAAAGCGAGCGCAGGCGGUUUGAUAAGUCUGAAGUUAAAGGCUGUGGCUCAACCAUAGUUCGCUUUGGAAACUGUCAAACUUGAGUGCAGAAGGGGAGAGUGGAAUUCCAUGUGUAGCGGUGAAAUGCGUAGAUAUAUGGAGGAACACCGGUGGCGAAAGCGGCUCUCUGGUCUGUAACUGACGCUGAGGCUCGAAAGCGUGGGGAGCGAACAGGAUUAGAUACCCUGGUAGUCCACGCCGUAAACGAUGAGUGCUAGGUGUUGGAUCCUUUCCGGGAUUCAGUGCCGCAGCUAACGCAUUAAGCACUCCGCCUGGGGAGUACGACCGCAAGGUUGAAACUCAAAGGAAUUGACGGGGGCCCGCACAAGCGGUGG